GCAGCGCGCAGACGCCGCCGGGCACCUGCUGCGAGGGGUUCAAGUCGCUGGUGAGCACGGCGCCCAUCUGCCUGUGCCACGGCAUCAAUGGCGACCUGAGCAAGUUCCUCCCGCUCCCCGUCGACAUGAUGAAGAUGAUGACGCUCCCCAACACCUGCGGCGCCACGGUCCCACUUCAGACGUUCUCCAUGUGCAACACGCCAUCAGUGCCGCCAUUGAUGCCUUCCGCUGCUCCAGCGCCUGCUAGUCCCCCAUCUUCAUAGAUCUUCAGGUGUGUCACCUUAGUCCGUCACCACUCACCGCAUGUGCCGGUUGUCGUCGUCUUAAGUUUAGUCUAAGGAGUUUUCGAUAAAUAUAGUACUCAGAGUUUAGGGUUUUGAGAUGUGAUUAAGUCAUGAUAGAUAUUUGUGCAGAGUCUAUGUAAUUUUUUGUCCAUGGAAUAAAUAAUAAUUUAGUGAAUUUUGUCCUUGUGAUUAGUUGAUUUGACAAUAUUACUGCACUGCAAUGGUCUCAUCUAGCCAGUUAUUCUA